rnacentral:lncRNA from 1 species
CAGUGCUCCUGCUGACCUUCCGUGUCUGCAGCCCGGCUUUGGACUGUGGAGAUGCCCUCAGCCUCUACUCAGUGGCUCCAGCCUCAUAUUUGCGUGCUAUACCUUUAACCUCAAGUCCUCUUGCUGCUAACUUAAGCUGCGACUGUCCAGGACCUGCACACACACACACAUGCACGCAUGCACACACACACACACAGAAGCCCCAGCUCCAGCCCCUCAGGAGGGGACUGCGUGGGAGGAAUGACUCCAGCAAGCCGGCAGCUGACCCGUCUCCUGCCUGCACGCCUCCCGCUGUGGUCCACUGCCGGUGGUCUUCAGCUCUCUCCUCGUCCCACCCCCAUGGUCUGCUGACAGCCCAGCUCAGUGCAUCCCUGCCAUCUCUGCUCUACCGCUGGUCCUCCCAACAACCAACUUACAGGGUUUCACUCCCGUCACCCAGACUGGAGUACAAUGGUGCGAUCUCAGCUCACUGCAACCUCUGCCUCCUGGGCUUAAGCGAUUCUCCUGCCUUGGCCUCCCAAGUAGCUGGGAUUACAGGUGCCUGCCACCACUCCUGGCUAAUUUUUGUAUUUUUUGUAAAGGCGGAGUUUCUCCAUGUUGCCCAGGCUAGUCUCAAACUCCUGAGCUCAAGCAAUCCACCCGCCUCGGCCUCCCAAAUAAGUGGAAUUAUAGGUGUGAGCCACCACGCCGGCCCUGAUGUAUCAAUAUUAAAACAUUUUCUUCAGCCUACAA